UACGGAGGGUGCAAGCGUUAUCCGGAAUCAUUGGGUUUAAAGGGUCCGUAGGCGGACUGAUAAGUCAGGGGUGAAAUCCCACAGCUCAACUGUGGAACUGCCUUUGAUACUGUUAGUCUUGAGUUAUAUGGAAGUAGAUAGAAUAUGUAGUGUAGCGGUGAAAUGCUUAGAGAUUACAUAGAAUACCGAUUGCGAAGGCAGUCUACUACGUAUAUACUGACGCUAAUGGACGAAAGCGUGGGGAGCGAACAGG
rnacentral:rRNA from 1 species